AAAUAGGAUUUUUUAAAAUCCACUUGUGGGUAAACAUAAAUUAUG
rfam:Heterocephalus glaber contig75578, whole genome shotgun sequence.